rnacentral:rRNA from 1 species
UACGGAGGGUGCGAGCGUUGUCCGGAUUUAUUGGGUUUAAAGGGUCCGUAGGCGGGCCGAUAAGUCAGGGGUGAAAGUUUGCAGCUCAACUGUAAAAUUGCCUUUGAUACUGUUGGUCUUGAGUUAUAGUGAAGUUGCCGGAAUAUGUAGUGUAGCGGUGAAAUGCAUAGAUAUUACAUAGAACACCGAUUGCGAAGGCA